UGUUGGCACUCGGUAACUAUAAAUGUUUCCUCCUCCCAAAUUGUUCAUUUACUAUACAUAUGUAUAAACCAUUGACGCAAUCCAGUAUCGAUCAUCGGACGGUACAGGUGCACUCGAGAGAGCCCGGUUAUAAAUGCUCCCGGAGCACCGCGGAGGCAAAGAUCAAAGUUCACGCAUCGAUAUUCGAACACGAUCACCCGCACAAUUGUGUCCCGUUAUCGAUAAAUUUCAUUCAGGGCACUCCUUUUAUCGUCCGCGAUCAUCGUUCCAUGCGCCGUGCCCCCCUGGCGAUCCCGGACUACCGGAAGAAGAACGCCGAAAAAUCAAGAACCCGGUGACCCGAUUUCGAAAACUGAAUCUCAAGUCCCGCAACAGAACCAUGUUACAGUAAUUUCUCCCUAAUUCGCGAUCAGAUCGCGCACAAAAAUUGACAAUUUGAGAAGAGGAGAUUAGAUUAAUUUCAGGCCUUAACGCAUAAAACGAAAGAAAUAUUUAUAAAAAAAACAAAUAUCGUGGCAGUCGAUUCGUCGCAAUUUUUCCUUCAAUGUCAUCCGAAGGUCAUCGUGUAGCAGGUCGUUCAAUUCGUCUCGACGUUGCCUACGACACUGCGAAGCUAAAACUGCCUAGUUUCACUUAGAAAUAGAACGGUGACCUUGUUUCUUUCAUCGAAGAUCGAUUUGUUUUUAAAUUUAGACAAUUGCAUUUUUGUGUUGAUUAAAUACUAAUUAACUUUGACCAUCCUGUAUAUAAGGCCGGUGGAAAAUCGCGGUACAACCGGCCAGGGGAUGAUUCUACAUGGAGAAAUAAGUCGGAAAAAUAGAGAAACAUUUUUUCAUUUAAGACUGCGUUUUCUAGGAAAAUAAGUUGUUUAAAGAUCCGAUAUACGUGACAUAAAUAAAUAGUAUAAAUAAUAAUAAUAAAGUAUAAAUAUAAUAUAAAUAUAGUAAUAUAUUUCUUCCACCAACUUUUACUCGAACACAGAGCCGUGAAUGGAAAAAAGAAAAUGUUAUCCUUUUCUCGACUUAUUUUUUACCGCGAUUUUUCAGCCACCCCGUAUACAUUUUAUUUUUAAUUUUAGCGCGACGCGCACAGCGAGCGUCAAGAAACGAUCGAAUAGAUUCCUUUUUAACGAGCUUACGUCAUCAGAAAAAUAGCGGAAAGUCUGGCCGAAUUGAUUCCUGCCAUUUUCAUAAAGCAACGCGACGUUGCUCGUUUCCAGAGCUCGGCGGAUUUAGCGUUUAAUCGAUGCGCGAUACAAAUCGGUUUCCUCGAUUCUUCCCGUUCAAGGGUUACAGCUCCGGUUACACGUUCAACCCUCUCGGAAAGCAUCGAAUCGUCGCUGGGGAUUUUACCAAAAUUUCAAUUCUCAAAAUAAGGUUAUUAUCAGCGAGUGAGAUUAGAUAUUCGUCGAUUAGGGUAGCAACGGAAUAGAGUAGAGCGUAUAGCCACCGUAAACGCAGCGUCUUCCGAGUCCUUCGAACGCUCUUCAUUCUUGUAGGUGUGUAAUCAUUCCGAUUCGAUAGUUCUGCAGCGCAGCGCGCAACUCCGAAAACGAUGACGCACGAAUGCAUACUUUCGUCGGGGCCGUCGAAACGGCGCGAUAGCGUCGCCGACGAUAAGAAACAAUCUGACAGACAACUGGACACAAUUUUGACACUUGCUGCUCUUAAAACGAUCUGCGGUUGUUCCCGAGGCAAAUAUAUGUUUCUCAGUUCA